AACGGCCGUACCAUGCUGAAUAUACCGGUUCUCGUUAGAUCACCGAAGUCAAGCAUCAUUGGGCGCGGUCAGUACUUGGGUGGGUGACCACCUGGGAACACUGCGUGC